AGGUUAUUUGUCCAAUAUGCACUAAGGAUUUUCCUGAAGAUGAGAUCACAGUCCAUGCGAGUCUGUGUGGGGAUAGCUUUCAAUGCAUGGUGCCUGAAGAAAAUGACCAAACUACAGGGACACCAGCUCAAACUUCAGUAUGCACAACAGACAGCGUGGAAGAUGUAUUGCGUUGCCUUGAACAACAAGUCGACACCACAACAGAAUUUAAGUUGUGUGUGGACAGAGAAGACCUUCCAGACAGAGGCAUUCUCCAGUGGCAG